rnacentral:sRNA from 1 species
AACAGAACUGCACCCUCAAUUCACAGCAUAAGUGACGUACUGGGAACCCUUAUGACUGGGACUCCUUUUCCAGUGGCCAAAGACGCAGUUAUUCUAGGAUAAGUUGGCCAUCUAACUAAAGUCAGCAAACGAUGUCUUAGCAGAAAAGGGGGUGCAGAAUGCUUUGCAGCAAGAACUCACCUGUGUCCCUUGGAAUAUAUUAAACACAGGUUUCGAGCCACUGUCUACCCUUGCCCAGAGCCUGUGGUGGAGCGCAAAGAGAUGUUGGAGAGCGUCAAUGUGAGGCUGGAAGAUUUAAUCACUGUCAUAACACAAACAGAGUCUCACCGCCAGCACCUGCUGCAGGAAGCCGCUACCAACUGGCACUCCUGGCUCAUCAAGGUGCAGAAGAUGAAGGCUGUCUACCACAUCCUGAACAUGUGCAACAUCGACGUCACCCAACAGUGUGUCAUCGCCGAGAUCUGGUUCCCGGUGGCAGAUGCCACACGUAUCAAGAGGGCACUGGAGCAAGGCAUGGAACUAAGUGGCUCCUCCAUGGCCCCCAUCAUGACCACAGUGCAAUCUAAAACAGCCCCUCCCACAUUUAACAGGACCAAUAAAUUCACAGCUGGCUUCCAGAAUAUUGUCGAUGCCUAUGGCGUCGGCAGCUACCGGGAGAUAAACCCAGCCCCCUACACCAUCAUCACUUUCCCCUUCCUGUUUGCUGUGAUGUUUGGAGACUGUGGUCACGGAACCGUGAUGCUCCUGGCCGCACUUUGGAUGAUUCUGAAUGAGAGACGCUUGCUCUCCCAGAAGACAGACAAUGAGAUUUGGAACACCUUCUUCCACGGGCGCUAUCUGAUCCUACUUAUGGGCAUCUUCUCCAUCUACACGGGUUUGAUCUACAAUGACUGCUUCUCCAAGUCCUUGAACAUCUUCGGCUCUUCUUGGAGUGUCCAACCCAUGUUCAGAAAUGGCACAUGG